UACGGAGGGUGCAAGCGUUAUCCGGAUUCACUGGGUUUAAAGGGUGCGUAGGUGGGCCGGUAAGUCCGUGGUGAAAUCUCUGGGCUUAACCCGGAAACUGCCGUUGAUACUAUCUGUCUUGAAUAUAGUGGAGGUGAGCGGAAUAUGUCAUGUAGCGGUGAAAUGCUUAGAUAUGACAUAGAACAUCGAUUGCGAAGGCAGCUCGCUACACUAUGAUUGACACUGAGGCACGAAAGCGAGGGGAUCAAACAGG
rnacentral:rRNA from 1 species